rnacentral:piRNA from 1 species
UAGAAAACGAAAAUUCACUCAUAGUGAAC